AACGAACGCUGGCGGCAUGCCUAACACAUGCAAGUCGAACGAGACCUUCGGGUCUAGUGGCGCACGGGUGCGUAACGCGUGGGAACCUGCCCUUAGGUUCGGAAUAACUCCCCGAAAGGGGUGCUAAUACCGGAUAAUGUCUUCGGACCAAAGACUUAUCGCCUUUGGAUGGGGCCGCGUUGGAUUAGCUAGUUGGUAGGGUAAACGCCUACCAAGGCGACGAUCCAUAGCUGGUCUGAGAGGAUGAUCAGCCACACUGGGACUGAGACACGGCCCAGACUCCUACGGGAGGCAGCAGGGGGGAAUAUUGGACAAUGGGCGAAAGCCUGAUCCAGCAAUGCCGCGUGAGUGAUGAAGGCCUUAGGGUUGUAAAGCUCUUUUACCCGGGAUGAUAAUGACAGUACCGGGAGAAUAAGCUCCGGCUAACUCCGUG
rnacentral:rRNA from 1 species